GCUUACACAUGCAAGUCGAGGGGUAGGGGCCUUCGGGCCUUGAGACCGGCGCACGGGUGCGUAACGCGUAUGCAAUCUGCCUUCCACAGAGGGAUAGCCCAGAGAAAUUUGGAUUAAUACCUCAUAGCAUCAUGACCCGGCAUCGGGAUAUGAUUAAAGUCACAACGGUGGAAGAUGAGCAUGCGUCCCAUUAGCUAGUUGGUAAGGUAACGGCUUACCAAGGCUACGAUGGGUAGGGGUCCUGAGAGGGAGAUCCCCCACACUGGUACUGAGACACGGACCAGACUCCUACGGGAGGCAGCAGUGAGGAAUAUUGGUCAAUGGGCGCAAGCCUGAACCAGCCAUGCCGCGUGCAGGAUGACGGUCCUAUGGAUUGUAAACUGCUUUUGUACGGGAAGAAACCCUCCUACGUGUAGGAGCUUGACGGUACCGUAAGAAUAAGGAUCGGCUAACUCCGUGCCAGCAGCCGCGGUAAUACGGAGGAUCCAAGCGUUAUCCGGAAUCAUUGGGUUUAAAGGGUCUGUAGGCGGUCUUGUAAGUCAGUGGUGAAAGCCCAUCGCUCAACGGUGGAACGGCCAUUGAUACUGCUGGACUUGAAUUAUUGGGAAGCAACUAGAAUAUGUAGUGUAGCGGUGAAAUGCUUAGAGAUUACAUGGAAUACCAAUUGCGAAGGCAGGUUGCUACCAAUGGAUUGACGCUGAUGGACGAAAGCGUGCGUAGCGAACAGGAUUAGAUACCCUGGUAGUCCACGCCGUAAACGAUGGAUACUAGCUGUUGCGCGCAAGUUCAGUGGCUAAGCGAAAGUGAUAAGUAUCCCACCUGGGGAGUACGAACGCAAGUUUGAAACUCAAAGGAAUUGACGGGGGCCCGCACAAGCGGUGGAGCAUGUGGUUUAAUUCGAUGAUACGCGAGGAACCUUACCAAGGCUUAAAUGCAGACUGACCGGUUUGGAAACAGACCUUUCGCAAGACGGUCUACAGGUGCUGCAUGGUUGUCGUCAGCUCGUGCCGUGAGGUGUCAGGUUAAGUCCUAUAACGAGCGCAACCCCUGUUGUUAGUUGCCAGCGAGUCAUGUCGGGAACUCUAGCAAGACUGCCAGUGCAACUGUGAGGAAGGUGGGGAUGACGUCAAUCAUCACGGCCCUUACGCCUGGGCUAAAACCUGCUACAUGGCCGGUACAGAAACACCCCCCCGCGGGGGGAACAAAUCUUAAACCGGCCCAUUUCGAUCGGAAUUGCACCCCCUCCCGGAACUGGAUCCCUGUAUCGGAUA
rnacentral:rRNA from 1 species